rnacentral:rRNA from 1 species
UACAGAGGGUGCAAGCGUUAAUCGGAAUUACUGGGCGUAAAGCGCGCGUAGGUGGUUUGUUAAGUUGGAUGUGGAAUCCCCGGGCUCAACCUGGGAACUGCAUUCAAAACUGACAAGCUAGAGUAUGGUAGAGGGUGGUGGAAUUUCCUGUGUAGCGGUGAAAUGCGUAGAUAUAGGAAGGAACACCAGUGGCGAAGGCGACCACCUGGACUGAUACUGACACUGAGGUGCGAAAGCGUGGGGAGCAAACAGG